rnacentral:rRNA from 1 species
ACGGAAUUCCGAAUAUAGCAAUAUAGUUGGAAGGAUAGUGGCGAAAGGGUGAGGAACACGUGGGCAAUCUGCCUUUAAGUUGGGGAUAACCUCGGGAAACUGGGGAUAAUACCGGAUAUGGUCUUCUGGCGCAUGUCAGAAUGAUUAAAGACGGGGAUCCUUCGGGACCUGUCGCUUGAAGAUGAGCCCGCGUCCCAUCAGCUAGUUGGUGAGGUAACGGCCCACCAAGGCUUACGGGUAGCUGGUCUGAGAGGAUGGUCAGCCACACUGGGACUGAGACACUGCCCAGACUCCUACGGGAGGCUGCAGUCGAGAAUCAUUCGCAAUGCACGAAAGUGUGACGAUGCGACGCUGCGUGGAGGAUGACGGCCUUAGGGUUGUAAACUCCUGUCAUUCGGGAAAAACUGUUUUGGUGUUAAUACCGCCAGAACUCGAUGGUACCGAAAGAGGAAGCCACGGCUAACUCUGUGCCAGCAGCCGCGGUAAUACAGAGGUGGCAAGCGUUGUUCGGAUUUACUGGGCGUAAAGGGUGCGUAGGUUGUUUCGUAUGUCGGAUGUGAAAUCCCAUGGCUCAACUGUGGAAUUGCAUUCGAAACUGCGGGACUUGAGUGUAGGAGGGGAGAGCGGAAUGUGGCAUGUAGCGGUGAAAUGCAUAGAUAUGCCAUAGAACACCAAUUGCGAAGGCAGCUGGCUAGGCGUGUAUUGACGCUGAGGCACGAAAGCGUGGGGAGCGAACAGGAUUAGAUACCCUGGUAGUCCACGCCCUAAACGAUGCUAACUCGAUAUCUGCAUUUAUGUGGG